GAUGAACGCUGGCGGCGUGCCUAAUACAUGCAAGUCGAGCGAACAGACGAGGAGCUUGCUCCUCUGACGUUAGCGGCGGACGGGUGAGUAACACGUGGAUAACCUACCUAUAAGACUGGGAUAACUUCGGGAAACCGGAGCUAAUACCGGAUAAUAUAUUGAACCGCAUGGUUCAAUAGUGAAAGACGGUUUUGCUGACACUUAUAGAUGGAACCGGGCCGGAUUAGCUAGUUGGUAAGGUAACGGCUUACCAAGGCAACGAUGCGUAGCCGACCUGAGAGGGUGAUCGGCCACACUGGAACUGAGACACGGUCCAGACUCCUACGGGAGGCAGCAGUGGGGAAUCUUCCGCAAUGGGCGAAAGCCUGACGGAGCAACGCCGCGUGAGUGAUGAAGGUCUUCGGAUCGUAAAACUCUGUUAUUAGGGAAGAACAAAUGUGUAAGUAACUAUGCACGUCUUGACGGUACCUAAUCAGAAAGCCACGGCUAACUACGUG
rnacentral:rRNA from 1 species